rnacentral:rRNA from 1 species
CACUUUAUUGUUGUUUGAAUGUGGACUUGGAUGUUGCCGUUUUAUCACGGCUCGUCUUAAAUGCCUGAGUGUACCCUGUUUUGCAGCGUAUCCAGUGUAAUAAACAUUUCACUAGAGUUGGUUGAAAGACCGCGUUGACUAUAUGGGCUCUAUGCUUCAAACCGUCUGCCAUGUGGACAAUUUCUUGACAAUUUGACCUCAAAUCGGGUGGGACUACCCGCUGAACUUAAGCAUAUCAAUAAGCGGAGGAAAAGAAACUAACAAGGAUUCCCCUAGUAACGGCGAGUGAAGAGGGAAAAGCUCAAAUUUUAAAUCUGGUGUCUUUGACUCCCGAGUUGUAAUCUAGAGAAGUGUUUUCCGUGUCGGACCGUGUACAAGUUCCCUGGAACGGGGCGUCAUAGAGGGUGAGAAUCCCGUAUAUGCCACGGACUACCGAUGCUCUGUGAUACACUCUCAACGAGUCGAGUUGUUUGGGAAUGCAGCUCAAAAUGGGUGGUAAAUUCCAUCUAAAGCUAAAUAUUGGCGAGAGACCGAUAGCGAACAAGUACCGUGAGGGAAAGAUGAAAAGCACUUUGGAAAGAGAGUGAAACAGUACGUGAAAUUGUUG